rnacentral:rRNA from 1 species
AGACGGAGGGUGCAAACGUUGUUCGGAAUCACUGGGCAUAAAGCGCGCGUAGGCGGUCCUUUAAGUCAGUUGUGAAAUCCCUCGGCUCAACCGAGGAACUGCAACUGAUACUGGAGGACUUGAGGAUGGUAGGGGUGAGCGGAACUCCAGGUGGAGCGGUGAAAUGCGUAGAUAUCUGGAGGAACACCGGUGGCGAAAGCGGCUCACUGGACCAUCACUGACGCUGAGGUGCGAAAGCUAGGGUAGCAAACGGGAUUAGAAACCCCAGUAGUCC